UACUACCAAUCUCGUUUCGGCUCCUGGGAAGCCGGUGUGAAACCGGCACGGCCCCGCCGCUGUAAGCGGGAACGAAACCCCGAAUGAUGCCACUGCAAAGCCGCAAGCGGCGGCUGUGGGAAGGCGGGGGAGUAGGCGGCCCGCGAGUCAGAAGACCACGCCGAAACGCCCGACCGGGU
rnacentral:ncRNA from 2 species